rnacentral:rRNA from 1 species
AAUCAACGCUGGCGGCGUGCCUAACACAUGCAAGUCGAACGAGAAAGUGGGGGCAACUCCAUGAGUAAAGUGGCGACCGGGUGAGUAACACGUGACUAACCUACCCUGAAACGGGGAAUAACCUUCCGAAAGGAGGGCUAAUACCGCAUGACCUCGUGAGGUGAGAUUCCUUGCGAGCAAACGCGUAAGCGGUUUCUGGAGGGGGUCGCGGCUGGUUAGCUAGUUGGUGAGGUAACGGCUCACCAAGGCGAUGAUCAGUAUCCGGCCUGAGAGGGCGCACGGACACACUGGAACUGAAACACGGUCCAGACUCCUACGGGAGGCAGCAGUGGGGAAUUUUGCGCAAUGGGGGAAACCCUGACGCAGCAACGCCGCGUGGAGGAUGAAGGUCUUUGGAUUGUAAACUCCUUUCGAUCGGGACGAUUAUGACGGUACCGGAAAAGGAAGCACCGGCUAACUCUGUGCCAGCAGCCGCCGUAACAC